rnacentral:rRNA from 1 species
AUUGAACGCUGGCGGCAGGCCUAACACAUGCAAGUCGAGCGGAGCGGCGGACGGGUGAGUAAUGCCUAGGAAACUGCCUGGUAGUGGGGGAUAACGUCCGGAAACGGGCGCUAAUACCGCAUACUAUCAGAUGAGCCAAGGUCGGAUUAGCUAGUUGGUGGGGUAAAGGCCUACCAAGGCGUCGAUCCGUAACUGGUCUGAGAGGAUGAUCAGUCACACUGGAACGGAGACACGGUCCAGACUCCUACGGGAGGCAGGAGUGGGGAAUAUUGGACAAUGAGCGAAAGCCUGAUCCAGCCAUGCCGCGUGUGUGAAGAAGGUAUUCGGAUUGUAAAGCACUUUAAGUUGGGAGGCGUUACCAACAGAAUAGGCACCGGCUAACUUCGAGCCAGCAGCCGCGGUAAUUC